rnacentral:tRNA from 1 species
AGUCUGAUAGCUCAGAGGUAGAGCAGUUUUUUUACAUGAAACGGGUCGAGGGUUCGAAUCCUUCUCAGACUACAA